GUAGGUGCAAGCGUUGUCCGGAAUUAUUGGGCGUAAAGUGCGCGCAGGUGGGUUCUUUAAGUCUGAUGUGAAAGCCCCCGGGCUCAACCGGGGAGGGUCAUUGGAAACUGGGGAACUUGAGUGCAGGAGAGAAAGUGGAAUUCCAGUGUAGCGGUGAAAUGCGUAGAUAUGUGAGGAACACCAGUGGCGAAGGCGACUUUCUGGCCUGUAACUGACACUGAGGCGCGAAAGCGUGGGGAGCAAACAGGAUUAGAUACCCUGGUAGUCCACGCCGUAAACGAUGAGUGCUAAGUGUUGGGGGUUUCCGCCCUCAGUGCUGCAGCUAACGCAUUAAGCACUCCGCCUGGGGAGUACGGUCGCAAAGACUG
rnacentral:rRNA from 1 species